rnacentral:rRNA from 1 species
GUGUGCUUAGUAGCGGACGGGUGAGUAACGCGUGAGUAACCUGCCUUUGUGAGGGGGACAACAGCCGAAACGGCUGUAAUACCGCAUGAGACCACGGCUCUGAGUGGAGCCGAGGAAAAGAUUUAUCGCACAAAGAUGGACUCGCGUCCCAUAAGCUAGUUGGUGAGGUAACGGCCCACCAAGGCGACGAUGGGUAGCCGACCUGAGAGGGUGAUCGGCCACACUGGAACUGAGACACGGUCCAGACUCCUACGGGAGGCAGCAGUGGGGAAUAUUGGGCAAUGGGCGCAAGCCUGACCCAGCAACGCCGCGUGAGGGAAGAAGGUCUUCGGAUUGUAAACCUCUGUCCUUGGGGACGAAAAAAAUGACGGUACCCAAGGAGGAAGCUCCGGCUAACUACGUGCCAGCAGCCGCGGUAAUACGUAGGGAGCGAGCGUUGUCCGGAAUUACUGGGCGUAAAGGGUGCGUAGGCGGCGAUGCAAGUCAGAUGUGAAAUCCCCGGGCUCAACUCGGAGACUGCUCCUGAAACUGGUAAACUUGAGUGCAGGAGAGGGAAGUGGAAUUCCUAGUGUAGCGGUGAAAUGCGUAGAUAUUAGGAGGAACACCAGUGGCGAAGGCGACUUCCUGGCCUGUAACUGACACUGAGGCGCGAAAGCGUGGGGAUCAAACAGGAUUAGAUACCCUGGUAGUCCACGCCGUAAACGAUGAGUGCUAGGUGUCGGGGGUAUCGACCCCCUCGGUGCCACAGCUAACGCAAUAAGCACUCCGCCUGGGGAGUACGGUCGCAAGACUGAAACUCAAAGGAAUUGACGGGGGCCCGCACAAGCGGUGGAGCAUGUGGUUCAAUUCGACGCAACGCGAAGAACCUUACCUGGGCUCGAACGGCUCACGCCGGCUCUGGGAACAGAGCUUUCCCGCAAGGGACGGGAGUCGAGGUGCUGCAUGGCUGUCGUCAGCUCGUGUCGUGAGAUGUUGGGUUAAGUCCCGCAACGAGCGCAACCCUUGUCCUGUGUUGCCAUGCCGAAAGGCGGAACUCGCAGGAGACCGCCAGCGAUAAGCUGGAGGAAGGUGGGGAUGACGUCAAGUCCUCAUGGCCUUUAUGUCCAGGGCUACACACGUGCUACAAUGGCCGGUACAAAGCGUCGCCAAGUCGCGAGACGGAGCCAAUCGCAAAAAACCGGUCUCAGUUCGGAUUGCAGGCUGCAACUCGCCUGCAUGAAGCUGGAAUCGCUAGUAAUGGCAGA